GGCGAGUGNNGCGGCAACAGCUCAAAUUUGAAAUCUGGCGUCUUCGGCGUCCGAGUUGUAAUUUGCAGAGGGCGCUUUGGCAUUGGCAGCGGUCCAAGUUCCUUGGAACAGGACGUCACAGAGGGUGAGAAUCCCGUACGUGGUCGCUAGCCUUUACCGUGUAAAGCCCCUUCGACGAGUCGAGUUGUUUGGGAAUGCAGCUCUAAAUGGGAGGUAAAUUUCUUCUAAAGCUAAAUACUGGCCAGAGACCGAUAGCGCACAAGUAGAGUGAUCGAAAGAUGAAAAGCACUUUGGAAAGAGAGUUAAAAAGCACGUGAAAUUGUUGAAAGGGAAGCGCUUGCAGCCAGACUUGCCUGUAGUUGCUCAUCCGGGUUUCUACCCGGUGCACUCUUCUAUAGGCAGGCCAGCAUCAGUUUGGGCGGUUGGAUAAAGGUCUCUGUCAUGUACCUCUCUUCGGGGAGAACUUAUAGGGGAGACGACAUGCAACCAGCCUGGACUGAGGUCCGCGCAUCUGCUAGGAUGCUGGCGUAAUGGCUGUAAGCGGCCCGUCUUGAAA
rnacentral:rRNA from 1 species